GGCCAGCAGCCGCGGUAAUACAGAGGUGGCUAGCGUUGUUCGGAAUUACUGGGCGUAAAGGGAGCGCAGGCGGCCAAAUUAGUCUGAAGUGCAAGCCCGGGGCUCAACCCCGGAAUUGCUUUGGAUACUGUUUGGCUUGAGUAUGUCAGAGGUGAGCGGAAUUCCAGGUGUAGCGGUGAAAUGCGUAGAUAUCUGGAGGAACAUCGGUGGCGAAAGCGGCUCACUGGGACAAAACUGACGCUGAGGCUCGAAAGCGUGGGGAGCGAACGGGAUUAGAUACCCCGGUAGUCCACGCUGUAAACGUUGUGCACUAGGUGUGAGGGGUGUCUACCCCCUUCGUGCCGUAGCUAACGCAUUAAGUGCACCGCCUGGGGAGUACGGUCGCAAGACUGAAACUCAAAGGAAUUGACGGGGGCCCGCACAAGC
rnacentral:rRNA from 1 species